rnacentral:rRNA from 2 species
ACAGUGGACGCGAGCAUCUGUGGCCAAGUUUUUAAGGGCGCACGGUGGAUGCCUUGGCACCAGGAACCGAUGAAGGACGUGGGAGGCCACGAUAGUCCCCGGGGAGUCGUCAACCAGGCUUUGAUCCGGGGGUUUCCGAAUGGGGAAACCCGGCAGUCGUCAUGGGCUGUCACCCGCUGCUGAACACAUAGGCAGUGUGGAGGGAACGCGGGGAAGUGAAACAUCUCAGUACCCGCAGGAAGAGAAAACAACCGUGAUUCCGGGAGUAGUGGCGAGCGAAACUGGAUGAGGCCAAACCUCAAGUGUGUGAGACCCGGCAGGGGUUGCGCUUGGGGGGUUGUGGGAUCUCUCUUCUGUUGUCUGCCGGCGACAGGACGAGUCAGAAACCGUUGAUGUAGGCGAAGGACAUGCGAAAGGUCCGGCGUAGAGGGUAAGACCCCCGUAGUCGAAACGUCAGCGGCUCGUUUGAGAGACACCCAAGUAGCACGGGGCCCGAGAAAUCCCGUGUGAAUCUGGCGGGACCACCCGCUAAGCCUAAAUAUUCCCUGGUGACCGAUAGCGGAUAGUACCGUGAGGGAAUGGUGAAAAGUACCGCGGGAGCGGAGUGAAAUAGUACCUGAAACCGUGUGCCUACAAGCCGUGGGAGCGUCGGACACAUCUUCGGAUGUGUCUCGUGACUGCGUGCCUUUUGAAGAAUGAGCCUGCGAGUUUGCGGUGUGUUGCGAGGUUAACCCGUGUGGGGAAGCCGUAGCGAAAGCGAGUCCGAAUAGGGCGGUUUAGUAGCGCGCUCAAGACCCGAAGCGGAGUGAUCUAGCCAUGGGCAGGUUGAAGCGGCUGUAAGAGGUCGUGGAGGACCGAACCCACCAGGGUUGAAAACCUGGGGGAUGACCUGUGGUUAGGGGUGAAAGGCCAAUCAAACUCCGUGAUAGCUGGUUCUCCCCGAAAUGCAUUUAGGUGCAGCGUCGUGUGUUUCUUGCCGGAGGUAGAGCACUGGAUAGGCGAUGGGCCCUACCGGGUUACUGACCUUAACCAAACUCCGAAUGCCGGUAAGUGAGAGCGCGGCAGUGAGACUGUGGGGGAUAAGCUCCAUGGUCGAGAGGGAAACAGCCCAGAGCAUCGACUAAGGCCCCUAAGCGUACGCUAAGUGGGAAAGGAUGUGGAGUCGCAGAGACAACCAGGAGGUUGGCUUAGAAGCAGCCACCCUUGAAAGAGUGCGUAAUAGCUCACUGGUCUAGUGAUUCCGCGCCGACAAUGUAGCGGGGCUCAAGCGUACCGCCGAAGUCGUGUCAUUGCAGCAAUACUCCCAACGGAGGCUGUGAUGGGUAGGGGAGCGUCGUGUGCCGGGUGAAGCCGCGCCGGAAGGCAGUGGUGGACGGUUCACGAGUGAGAAUGCAGGCAUGAGUAGCGAUACACACGUGAGAAACGUGUGCGCCGAUUGACUAAGGGUUCCUGGGUCAAGCUGAUCUGCCCAGGGUAAGUCGGGACCUAAGGCGAGGCCGACAGGCGUAGUCGAUGGAUAACCGGUUGAUAUUCCGGUACCCGCUGUGAAGCGUCAAACAUCGAAUCCAGUGAUGCUAAGCCCGUGAAGCCGUUCCGGACCCUUCGGGGAAAGGAAAGUGGUGGAGCCGGUGACCCGAGCUGGUAGUAGGUGAGUGAUGGGGUGACGCAGGAAGGUAGUCCAUCCCGGGCGGUGGUUGUCCCGGGGUAAGGGUGUAGGACGUCAGGUAGGUAAAUCCGCCUGGCAAUUGUCUGAGACCUGAUGCCGAGCCGAUUGUGGUGAAGUGGAUGAUCCUAUGCUGUCGAGAAAAGCCUCUAGCGAGUUUCAUGGCGGCCCGUACCCUAAACCGACUCAGGUGGUCAGGUAGAGAAUACCGAGGCGUUCGGGUGAACUAUGGUUAAGGAACUCGGCAAAAUGCCCCCGUAACUUCGGGAGAAGGGGGGCCAUCACUGGUGAGGGGACUUGCUCCUCGAGCUGGGGGUGGCCGCAGAGACCAGCGAGAAGCGACUGUUUACUAAAAACACAGGUCCGUGCGAAGCCGUAAGGCGAUGUAUACGGACUGACGCCUGCCCGGUGCUGGAACGUUAAGGGGACCGGUUAGUCAGGAUUCGUCUUGGCGAAGCUGAGAACUUAAGCGCCAGUAAACGGCGGUGGUAACUAUAACCAUCCUAAGGUAGCGAAAUUCCUUGUCGGGUAAGUUCCGACCUGCACGAAUGGCGUAACGACUUCUCGACUGUCUCAACCAUAGGCCCGGUGAAAUUGCACUACGAGUAAAGAUGCUCGUUUCGCGCAGCAGGACGGAAAGACCCCGGGACCUUUACUACAGUUUGAUAUUGGUGUUCGGUUCGGCUUGUGUAGGAUAGCUGGGAGACUGUGAAGCAGGCACGCCAGUGUUUGUGGAGUCGUCGUUGAAAUACCAGUCUGGUCGUGCUGGAUGUCUAACCUGGGUCCGUGAUCCGGAUCAGGGACAGUGUCUGAUGGGUAGUUUAACUGGGGCGGUUGCCUCCCAAAGGGUAACGGAGGCGCCCAAAGGUUCCCUCAGCCUGGUUGGCAAUCAGGUGUUGAGUGUAAGUGCACAAGGGAGCUUGACUGUGAGACCGACGGGUCGAGCAGGGACGAAAGUCGGGACUAGUGAUCCGGCGGUGGCUUGUGGAAGCGCCGUCGCUCAACGGAUAAAAGGUACCCCGGGGAUAACAGGCUGAUCUUCCCCAAGAGUCCAUAUCGACGGGAUGGUUUGGCACCUCGAUGUCGGCUCGUCGCAUCCUGGGGCUGGAGUCGGUCCCAAGGGUUGGGCUGUUCGCCCAUUAAAGCGGUACGCGAGCUGGGUUUAGAACGUCGUGAGACAGUUCGGUCCCUAUCCGCUGUGCGCGUAGGAGUCUUGAGAAGGGCUGUCCCUAGUACGAGAGGACCGGGACGGACGAACCUCUGGUGUGCCAGUUGUCCUGCCAAGGGCAUGGCUGGUUGGCUACGUUCGGGAGGGAUAACCGCUGAAAGCAUCUAAGCGGGAAGCCUGCUUCGAGAUGAGGACUCCCACCCCCUUGAGGGGUUAAGGCUCCCAGUAGACGACUGGGUUGAUAGGCCAGAUCUGGAAGCGCCGUAAGGUGUGGAGGUGACUGGUACUAAUAGGCCGAGGGCUUGUCCUCAGUUG